GUCAUUCUGUGGGGCUUCGGGGUCCCUAUGGGGUUUUGUGGGGCUCUAUGAGCUUUAGGGGGGCCCUAUGGGGUUUUGGGGUCCCCGUGGGGUUUAGAGGGGGCCCUAUGGGGUCCCUGUGGGGCUUUGGGGUCAUUCUAUGGGGUUUUGGGGUCCCUGUGGGGCCCUAUGGGGUUUUGGGGUCCCUAUGGGCUUUAGGGGGGCCCUAUGGGGUUUUGGGGUCCCUAUGGAGUUUAGGAGGGCCCUAUGGGGUCCCUGUGGGGCUUUGGGGUCUUUCUGUGGGGUUUUGGGGUCCUUGUGGGG
ensembl:lncRNA